rnacentral:SRP_RNA from 1 species
GCGCGGGCUAGGCCGGGGGGAUAGGGGUCCCCUGCAACCGGAAAUCCUCUUUACGCCGGGGCCGAAUGCCUGGGAAAGGUGCACUGGCCGUGCAUCGAUCCUGAUCCGUACUAUGAGAUCUCGUCCUCCUGGGUUGAAGUCGGCAUUGGGGGCGGCCGGAGGGCCGUAUCCCGUGUCUUUAUUACGAGCACCGGGCCAGGCGCGGAAGCGAGCAACCCUAUCGUAUACUGCGACGCUUGGAGGAUUAACGGGGUCGAGAAAGGACCAGGGCAAUCGGUGUACGGUACAGGUAUCGAUUCCGGGAUGCCUGCGC